CGGGUGAGUAACGCGUGGGUAACCUACCUUUCAGCGGGGGAUAAUUAUUGGAAACGAUAGCUAAUACCGCAUAACAAUGUUGGAUGCAUAUUCGACAUUUGAAAGUACCAAUUGGUACACUGAGAGAUGGACCCGCGUUGUAUUAGCUAGUUGGUAGUGUAAUGGACUACCAAGGCGAUGAUACAUAGCCGACCUGAGAGGGUGAUCGGCCACAUUGGGACUGAGACACGGCCCAAACUCCUACGGAAGGCAGCAG
rnacentral:rRNA from 1 species